UAAGGGAUAUUGGUCAAUGGGGGAAACCCUGAACCAGCAACGCCGCGUGAGGGAAGACGGUUUUCGGAUUGUAAACCUCUGUCCUCUGUGAAGAUGAUGACGGUAGCAGAGGAGGAAGCUCCGGCUAACUACGUGCCAGCAGCCGCGGUAAUACGUAGGGAGCGAGCGUUGUCCGGAUUUACUGGGUGUAAAGGGUGCGUAGGCGGCUUGGCAAGUCAGUAGUGAAAUCCAUGGGCUUAACCCAUGAACUGCUAUUGAAACUGUCGAGCUUGAGUGAAGUAGAGGUAGGCGGAAUUCCCGGUGUAGCGGUGAAAUGCGUAGAGAUCGGGAGGAACACCAGUGGCGAAGGCGGCCUACUGGGCUUUAACUGACGCUGAGGCACGAAAGCGUGGGUAGCAAACAGG
rnacentral:rRNA from 1 species